GUUGGGCAAGCCACCAUUUCUAGUAAGUGGUCUUGGUGACAGCAGCCUCAGUAGCUUCACCUUCAGGGAAAGAUUCAAAGCUGACUUCAGCGAGGUUGAGACUUAAAAGUCUUCUCUAAGGAUCCCUGGCAUGCCGAAGUAACAACUCAGAAAGUUACUGGUUCAUUAUCCUGAAGUAAGAUUCCUUUCCCCAAGCAUGGGCCCAGCCAAGGGGAUAGCUCAUUUCUAGCCCCAACAGUUAAAAUCUGGGAUUGUGAUCACAACAGCCAGUCAUUUUAGCAGUCCUCCCAUAACAUUUAAUAGCAAUGGUUAUCAUAUGAAAUUUCUUAGAACAACCCUGGCAUAAUUUUCAUAGAAGAGUAUUUAUAAGGUGUGUCCUAAACCAGCAGCAUCAGCACCCUCUAAGGACUUGUUGGAAAUUCAAAGGUCUCACACCAAACCUACUGAAUUAGAAACUCAAAGAUGGAUCCCAGCAACCUGUCCUAACAGGCCCUCCAGGUAAUUCUGAUGCACAACUCAAGUUUGAGAACCACUGCGCUAGAAUAAACCCAAGCAAUCCUACCAGUUGGUUUUCCUCUUUUCCUGGUGGUUUCUGUGAUGAAUAAUAAUGACCCAACUAGUCUCAGUGUUCUAGGAGCUCCCCCAUCAGUCCUUGGGAAGAGCAGGAACCAACUUUGUAUCCUCACAGCCUAUGUCUGGCACAUGAUGGGUGCUCAGUGAAUGCAUACUAGAUCAAGGGAUGAAUGAAGACAUAAUAGAAGGGGAAGAAUACCUGGAGGAGAUUCAUGAAUGAUACUAGUCAGUGUAGUCCUGGAGUGGGGGCUGGGAGACUUCACAAAGCUACUGCCUAGUCUUUUUGGGUAAUCAUCAGAAACUGACUCAGAAUCCCUAAUUGGUGGGCUUUACCACAUUCCAGCUAUGCUCAGGGACCCCUUAGGACAUUUGGUGCUCCCCCUAACCAACAGUGUUGCCAGUCACCUCUUUCCUUGACCUAGAGGGAGCUGAAGAGAACCAAGACAUCGGGAAAGGUGAGAACAGAGGCCUUGCUGAACAGGAGAAUGUGGCCAGGCAGAAGAAGCGAUGUGGACAGCAAAGAGAGAUUGAUUGCACAUCGCCACCAUGGAGAGGAAAAAAUCCAGUAUGGAAAUAAAGCUAUGGCCUGACCAGGUCACUGUCUUGCAUGGUGCUCACUCUGAGGGACAGACCCAGCAUUCUGAAGACUUUCUGAAGAACUUAUUCGAUCUGGGGCACCCUUGUUGAGAAAAAUAAUACAAAACUACAAAUGCGCGAAGCUUCGAGAGCUCCAGGACUUGCCUGGUACAUUUGUCUGGGAGAGCAGAAGAGGGAAGAAAUAGGAAAAACACACUUAUACUAUCUUAUCUUUGCUCAUAUCCUUUUCCUUACAAUGAGAAGAAAAUGUACUGUGCCCUAAAAUUCAAGACCCACGUCACAUCACAAAAGAUAUCAAGUUUUGCAAAUUUACACCAUUACAAUUCAGUGCUCCUUGUUUGGCAAACCACUGUCUGGAUGUGGGUACCCCCAAAGCCUCCCAGGCCCCUGUGUUAGCACUGCUUCUGAACAAUGCACAAGCCAGGCCUUUAAAGGAGAAUCUGAACCUCCCUCAUGCAGUCAAAUGAAACACAUUUGUGCUACUAACUCUGUCUUCACUUUUGCCUGCAGAAUAUGGGGUACUUGAGGUGUCUAUAAUACAUUGUUUUUAAAGUGGAAAAGCAGCUCCAUCACUUCAAAAACAAGAGAACAAAGCCAAAACAUUGAAUUCGGAUCCAUGGGCAGAGGCAAUUUGCAUAUUCUCUUUCACCUGUUUUGUUUUUUCUCCCUGCUGUAACCCCUGAUUAAUGCUCAUUUUCUCAGGGUGUGGUUUCAUGUUUUUGGCUACCACUUCCCAUUUCUACAUAUCUAAGAGGGUCCCAGGAACUUA